GGUUAAGCGACUAAGCGUACACGGUGGAUGCCCUGGCAGUCAGAGGCGAUGAAGGACGUGCUAAUCUGCGAUAAGCGUCGGUGAGGUGAUAUGAACCGUUAUAACCGGCGAUUUCCGAAUGGGGAAACCCAGUGUGUUUCGACACACUAUCAUUAACUGAAUCCAUAGGUUAAUGAGGCGAACCGGGGGAACUGAAACAUCUAAGUACCCCGAGGAAAAGAAAUCAACCGAGAUUCCCCCAGUAGCGGCGAGCGAACGGGGAGGAGCCCAGAGCCUGAAUCAGUGUGUGUGUUAGUGGAAGCGUCUGGAAAGGCGCGCGAUACAGGGUGACAGCCCCGUACACAAAAAUGCACAUAUUGUGAGCUCGAUGAGUAGGGCGGGACACGUGGUAUCCUGUCUGAAUAUGGGGGGACCAUCCUCCAAGGCUAAAUACUCCUGACUGACCGAUAGUGAACCAGUACCGUGAGGGAAAGGCGAAAAGAACCCCGGCGAGGGGAGUGAAAAAGAACCUGAAACCGUGUACGUACAAGCAGUGGGAGCCUCUUUAUGGGGUGACUGCGUACCUUUUGUAUAAUGGGUCAGCGACUUAUAUUCUGUAGCAAGGUUAACCGAAUAGGGGAGCCGAAGGGAAACCGAGUCUUAACUGGGCGUUAAGUUGCAGGGUAUAGACCCGAAACCCGGUGAUCUAGCCAUGGGCAGGUUGAAGGUUGGGUAACACUAACUGGAGGACCGAACCGACUAAUGUUGAAAAAUUAGCGGAUGACUUGUGGCUGGGGGUGAAAGGCCAAUCAAACCGGGAGAUAGCUGGUUCUCCCCGAAAGCUAUUUAGGUAGCGCCUCGUGAAUUCAUCUCCGGGGGUAGAGCACUGUUUCGGCAAGGGGGUCAUCCCGACUUACCAACCCGAUGCAAACUGCGAAUACCGGAGAAUGUUAUCACGGGAGACACACGGCGGGUGCUAACGUCCGUCGUGAAGAGGGAAACAACCCAGACCGCCAGCUAAGGUCCCAAAGUCAUGGUUAAGUGGGAAACGAUGUGGGAAGGCCCAGACAGCCAGGAUGUUGGCUUAGAAGCAGCCAUCAUUUAAAGAAAGCGUAAUAGCUCACUGGUCGAGUCGGCCUGCGCGGAAGAUGUAACGGGGCUAAACCAUGCACCGAAGCUGCGGCAGCGACACUAUGUGUUGUUGGGUAGGGGAGCGUUCUGUAAGCCUGUGAAGGUGGCCUGUGAGGGUUGCUGGAGGUAUCAGAAGUGCGAAUGCUGACAUAAGUAACGAUAAAGCGGGUGAAAAGCCCGCUCGCCGGAAGACCAAGGGUUCCUGUCCAACGUUAAUCGGGGCAGGGUGAGUCGACCCCUAAGGCGAGGCCGAAAGGCGUAGUCGAUGGGAAACAGGUUAAUAUUCCUGUACUUGGUGUUACUGCGAAGGGGGGACGGAGAAGGCUAUGUUGGCCGGGCGACGGUUGUCCCGGUUUAAGCGUGUAGGCUGGUUUUCCAGGCAAAUCCGGAAAACCAAGGCUGAGGCGUGAUGACGAGGCACUACGGUGCUGAAGCGACAAAUGCCCUGCUUCCAGGAAAAGCCUCUAAGCAUCAGGUAACAUCAAAUCGUACCCCAAACCGACACAGGUGGUCAGGUAGAGAAUACCAAGGCGCUUGAGAGAACUCGGGUGAAGGAACUAGGCAAAAUGGUGCCGUAACUUCGGGAGAAGGCACGCUGAUAUGUAGGUGAAGCGACUUGCUCGUGGAGCUGAAAUCAGUCGAAGAUACCAGCUGGCUGCAACUGUUUAUUAAAAACACAGCACUGUGCAAACACGAAAGUGGACGUAUACGGUGUGACGCCUGCCCGGUGCCGGAAGGUUAAUUGAUGGGGUUAGCGGUAACGCGAAGCUCUUGAUCGAAGCCCCGGUAAACGGCGGCCGUAACUAUAACGGUCCUAAGGUAGCGAAAUUCCUUGUCGGGUAAGUUCCGACCUGCACGAAUGGCGUAAUGAUGGCCAGGCUGUCUCCACCCGAGACUCAGUGAAAUUGAACUCGCUGUGAAGAUGCAGUGUACCCGCGGCAAGACGGAAAGACCCCGUGAACCUUUACUAUAGCUUGACACUGAACAUUGAGCCUUGAUGUGUAGGAUAGGUGGGAGGCUUUGAAGUGUGGACGCCAGUCUGCAUGGAGCCGACCUUGAAAUACCACCCUUUAAUGUUUGAUGUUCUAACGUUGGCCCGUAAUCCGGGUUGCGGACAGUGUCUGGUGGGUAGUUUGACUGGGGCGGUCUCCUCCUAAAGAGUAACGGAGGAGCACGAAGGUUGGCUAAUCCUGGUCGGACAUCAGGAGGUUAGUGCAAUGGCAUAAGCCAGCUUGACUGCGAGCGUGACGGCGCGAGCAGGUGCGAAAGCAGGUCAUAGUGAUCCGGUGGUUCUGAAUGGAAGGGCCAUCGCUCAACGGAUAAAAGGUACUCCGGGGAUAACAGGCUGAUACCGCCCAAGAGUUCAUAUCGACGGCGGUGUUUGGCACCUCGAUGUCGGCUCAUCACAUCCUGGGGCUGAAGUAGGUCCCAAGGGUAUGGCUGUUCGCCAUUUAAAGUGGUACGCGAGCUGGGUUUAGAACGUCGUGAGACAGUUCGGUCCCUAUCUGCCGUGGGCGCUGGAGAACUGAGGGGGGCUGCUCCUAGUACGAGAGGACCGGAGUGGACGCAUCACUGGUGUUCGGGUUGUCAUGCCAAUGGCACUGCCCGGUAG
rnacentral:rRNA from 1 species